AAUAGUUUCUCUAAGUCUCUCACAAGAAUUUUCGUAAAAACGAAUAGUUCAGUCGUGCCGUGCCUAACCGACUUGUGCCUUUGCUGGUGUCGUUGCGGCUCAUGGCAUCCAGAUGUCGGCCCCGCUGGAACUAUUAGUCACAUCCCUCCUCGUCGUCAUCACCUGACUAAAAACACAACUCCUCAUUUCUUUUCUCCCCACCCCGAACGUCCAUUGUUGAAGCUCUUUAAGCUUCCACUCUCCUAAGAAAACCGAAAAUGUUCACUCGUCGGACGGCUCAACGCAUUCUGGAGAUCCGUCAAGUUAUCCGCCAAUCUUCUCAGGCUUCUCGAUCUUUCUCUACUGCUCUUAAUUAUGCAAGCUAUUGAUUUAUGGAUUUUUCGUAUCAAGCUUUUUCUUCAAUUUCGGUUGAUUUGGCUUUUAUUAGGAGACGACGUCAUUGAGGAACCUUUUUAGCGAUCGCGGAGAAACAGACUUAGCUCCUUGAAGCAUCUUUGUUUGAUUACAGAUCGGAACCGGCUGGGAACGAUGGGUUAGCGAUGUUGAUUAGAGUGCCAAGGAUGUCAUAUUGAGCUGAGCAUGGGGAAAUUUUGUAGUUUUGUAUUAGGUUUUUGGAUAAAUGUAUAUUAGACUUGGUUGUGUUGGUUAUAUUGAACUUAAAGUGAUCUGUUUGUUUACCUUGUGUUUAGAUUAGACGUUUGGUUUGAGAAUUAGCUGAGUUAGUUACGUUAAAGAGCUGGUGACCCCUUUGCUCAAGUUUUGGAAGUGUGAUUUAAGUUUCUUGAAAAAUAAACCCCGUAAUGACCCUGUUUACUCAGUCAAUAGUAAGUCGAGUAGUUACAAGUACAGAGUACAGACGAGUCGCAGAAGGACGUCAAGCUUAUUUGACCUCAAAUAUUGUUUGGACUUAUCUAUCUGAUACAAUAGGUUAAGAAUGCCAUAGCCUUCGGUUUGAAUUCAGGAUGUUAAUGUGAGUGUUCAAUUAACUUGUCUGAUCAAAAACAAAAAACUAAAUGCUAAUGUCUUAUGUUUGUGUCUAGUUUCAAUGUCAUGAUAUGGUUGAUAGUAGUUUUGGGCGCAUGCGGAAUUUAUA